UACGAAGGGUGCAAGCGUUAAUCGGAAUCACUGGGCGUAAAGCGCACGUAGGCGGAUUCCUAAGUCGGGGGUGAAAUCCUGGAGCUCAACUCCAGAACUGCCUUCGAUACUGGGAAUCUUGAGUCCGGAAGAGGUGAGUGGAACUGCGAGUGUAGAGGUGAAAUUCGUAGAUAUUCGCAAGAACACCAGUGGCGAAGGCGGCUCACUGGUCCGGUACUGACGCUGAGGUGCGAAAGCGUGGGGAGCAAACAGG
rnacentral:rRNA from 1 species